UAACGGGAGGUUUUAAGUGGGGUGCUUAGGUUUUUUUGUAAUUAAAAAAAAAGAAAAAUCACAAUUACCUUAAGCAGCGGAGCUUAAUUAAGAGGAAGAAGCACCGACUCUUGAUACACGUGUCGUCUUCCAUCCUCUCCCGUUCUCUCCUUCUCACCGCCGUCAAUGCUUCGUAACGAUGGCCACAAUCUUCUUCUCUUCCUCUCCACUUGCUUGAAACGGACAAAAAUGGCCACCAUAAACCCUAUUUUAUCUUCGCGCCUGCUCACUCUCUUCAAGCUGGGUCGAUUAACUUCUCUUAUGGCCAUGGGGGGUUCCUUCACCUCCCACAGUAACCCUCUCUAUGGUCUUUCUAUUUUAUUUGUUCUAGUGGUGUUUGACUUUCAAGCUCGCUUAUGGGUUUCAUGAAAUACAGUAGCUUUGUUCAUAUCUUCUGUAAAGUUUUAAUCUUUCUUGGUGUCUUUAUUGAUGGUUUAGUUUGCUGAGACUUUACUUGAUUGUGGAUUAAUCUGUUCUGUUUCGUAGCAUUUAGGCUCAUUUCUCUAUUGUGGUUUUGGUUUUCAAGCUCGCUAAUGGGUUUCAGGAAAGACAGUAACUUAGUUAUGUCUUCAUUGAUGUUUUAAUAUGCUCUGUCUCGUCAUUUAUAUGGGUUCUAGCCUCAGUUUGUUAAGACUUCACUUGAUUGUGUACUAUUCUGCUCUGUUUUAUAGUUCUUAGGUUCAAUUUUCAGGAGAAUGCAAUAACUUUGUGGUGUCUCCAGCCCAUUGAAGUUUUAAUUUGUUAUGUCAUGUAACUUUUGCGGGUUUUAAGUUGAAUUUGUUCUUGUAAAUUUCAGGAGAUUAGCUUCCACAGAAGGUUAUUCCACCUCCACAGUUUGUCAUCCAGAACCAGUAUGAGUUCUUCGUCCAGCGUAUGGGAGGCCCUCCUCUGUAUUCUCAAAGGAAAUGUUAAGUCUUUUUUACAUUUUGGAUUCUUCUUCCUUUACUAUAAUCUGGUGAAUGCCUUCAAAUGUUUGUUUGGUUCUAGCUGUUCUUUUAAUGUUCAUGGCACUUUAAUCAGUUCUGCAUUAACAUAAUUUUCAGGCUGCGAUUGAACUAUGGCUAGCCGCAAUGAUCCCUUACAGAUUGCAACUUCCUAACUGUUUUGUAUAUUGGGUUUGUGGGAGCUCACACAAUGCCGGUUCUGUAUGAGAAAUAUGAAGACGAAGUUGGUGGUUUUGUUGAUUCUCUGCUCAUGAAGUUUCACAGUCACUAUAAGAAGAUGGAUACUGGCUUUCUCAGUCGAAUUCCAAGUGGAAGGUUUGGGUUCAAGAAGCAUGACUAAAUCAACUUGUUUAUCUGUGGAUGAAAGGUAUGUGUAGCUUGGUUUACUCUUGAACGUCUUCUUCUUGGUUUACUCUUAUAGGAUGUUUCAAACAAUGUUGGCUUACUUUCUGAUGAUGGCAAUAGGUUUUACAAACCAAAGUGUUUCUUAAUUUUUUUUUGAUCUUUUAAUAUGUUUUAUAUAAUAAAUAAAUUUUAUCUUAAAUAAAACAAUGUUUAAUUUUUUUUAAGAACCCCUAAAUAAGAUACUUGCAUUGGAGGACAAAAUUUAGAGGUUGCUUAAAAAAAGUGUUUAUCACCCAUUUAUUAUUAAAAAAGUGAUUAAGCACCCCAUUAGGGGUGCUAGGGUUAAUGGUGCUCUUAGUUAUGAUUAUUUGUAACCACUUGAAAUGCAUGGCUGCAAAACGUUUUGUGGCUAUCCGUAGCUAAAAGUGUAACAUGUAAAUGCACUUAUCACUCCUAAAAAAAUAAUAAUAUAUAUGUAAUACCAAUUUUUAAUAACAUUUACAAUGUUCUUUGGAAUGUUAAAAUCAUUUUUUCAGAUAUAGUAAUAUAAUCAAAUCAAGUUCCAUAAUAUUGAGACACUAUAUAUGCAUUAUGUAUUACUAUGCUAUUUAGUUACAUUAACUAUCUACGAUUGUGGUUUGUUACAUUAUAUAUUCAUUAUAUGUUAUUUAGUUUUAGACAAACUAUUUGUUCUCAAUUUUUUUACGCUAUAGGCGGAUCAAAUUUUAAAUUCACCUAAUUUAGAUCGAAACUUUUUUAAAAGAAAAAAAGAAAAACAAGAGACAUGAAAAACAAUUUAUAGAUUGCCAACACUAUAACUAUUGUAGUAGAUGUUCUUAGUACAGAAAAAAAUGUAGAAGUUCUGAGAAUAACUUUAUGCCGCAGUGUAUAGGUUCAACAUUAUAACCGCGCAAACUAAAUAAAAUAUAUUUGGAGGCAUAACAAUUAAUGCUUCAACACAAAACAAUAAAUGAAAAAUCAAACCACAAGUGUAAUGCUUGUACAGUUGUACUAGGUCUAAGUAUAAGGGCUAUUAUAAUGCUUUGAGUUUACAUUGGUCUUUACCUCAUAUAACAAAACAUUUUGGUGUUUUUUUCAUAGGUUUGGGAUAGACGACUGCAUCCGGAAAGAUGUAGUGUCAAUAUAUCAGUCAAAAUUUUAGGGACCAUGGUGGACCUACAGAAUGGUGCCAGAUGAGAAGAAGGUCGCUUGGUGGACUAGUUUUUUAGUAGCUUCUCUAUAUUUACUUUGUUUAUUGGUUGAUAUAGUCAGAUAACCUUUCACCUUAUUCUAAUUAACUCUGUUUUUGCUGUAGCAAAAAUACUACUGGGAUCCUAGGCAUCACAAUCAAGUUCGUGUUCAGUGAGAACAUAUUCUGAAAAACUCAAUCAGAGACCUUGUAAGCAAGAGAAGGUGAUCAGAAGAAAAGAAGAAGCCAGAUUUCAUUGGCCUAGCGGAUUGGAACUUGAUGCUAUUGCAAGAGUUGGCAGGAGGAGCCACACCAAAAGAGGAGCAAAACAAAUUCUGAGAAUGCUUCCUCAAACCCAGAUGGUUUAGGCACUCACCGUCAUACUUCAGGAUCAAAAAAAUCACAAGCAUUAUGCUUAUGACUUGACAGUUAAAGCUGGUGGAAUAGCACCUCCAGUCACUGAAGUAGUGCGUAUGACCCAUACUAGCAAAGAUGGCACUUUCACUAACAAAAGAGCUGAAGGUUUAGUGAAGGCUGCUGAGGCUCUUGCAUUGGAGCGAUCACAAGGUUCAUGUCUGACUGAUGAAACUCCAUCUGCACCCUCUACCCAGCAGCCCAAUGCUGCUUACAUUGAAGUAAGUAUCUCCCAAUCUGACUCAUAUAAUCAAUUUUAAUAGCAUAAUGAUUUUGGUUUUGCAUAAUGAAUUGAUCGAAACUGUUUUUUUUUUAUAUUCUACUAGGUGAUUUUCCUGUGCUCAUGCACGGGUAUAAAUGUUUUUGAAGUAAAUAUACUAUAAUAAUUGAUUGUUAUUUACUUUUAAUUUUAAAUUAAUUUAUAAUUUGAAUGCAUCAUUUAUAUUUAUAAUAUUAUAUUACUUUAAUAAUACAUAUGAUUUUAUAUAUAUUAUAUUUAAUCGGUUUUGUUGUUCUUACAAUCAAUUUAGUUAUCAAUUGCAUAAUUUGGAUUGCAUCUCUGAAUUCAACUAUAAUAUUUUUUAUUCUAAAUAUAUUAAAAUUUUGAUUAAUUUCUUAUUUGCAUUUAGGUGGUUGUUGUCUUAAAUAUGUAAAUAUAUUUUAUGAAGAUUAUGUAUAACUUCAGAUAUAUUGUGCUUAGAAUAAAAAAUAAUAAAAUAAACUAAAAUGUCUGAUUACAAAUUACAUAAAUUAAUAUAACGAUAAUAUUCUCAAAUCUCAUGCAUAUAUAUAUAAAUUAUAAAUUGUAACACUUGUUUAAUAUUUUAUUUUCAUUUUAAUAUAUAUUGAGUUGUUCUAUGAUUUAUAAUUAUAAAAUAAAUUACUAUUCUUAUAAAAUUAGAUAUAAGUUAGAUUAGUCGAAUCACUCAUGUUGUGAGUAUAUAUUGAGUUACUGUUAUUCUUUCAAAUUCAAAUGAAAUAUAAUUUUAUUUAUCGUUUAAACGUGCAUGUAUAUUCAUAAUAUUUAUCAAAUUUUAUAUUGAUAUUUUUUAAAAUAUAUUAUAAAAUAAAGUGAUGCUCAAUAGGAAGUAACAUACAUAAGUAGGUGAUACAUUUUUGGAAGCUCAUGAACACAUAUUAAUAUUUACAAUAAUUAAAAUAUUUUAUAAAUUCUAAAUAACUUUAUGCCUUUGAUAUAUUGAAUGGAAACUAAAAUUUAUUUUCAAUAAUAUUAAAAAUGAGAAUUCAGAUUUGCUUUGGUAUUUUGAUUAUGGUUAUAUUAAGUUCCACAAACAUAAAAUUUAAAAGAAAAUU